GAGAGCAUUCUUACUUUACAGCAUUUUUUCACACCUGCCUAAAACUUUUGCACAGUACUGUGUGUGUGUAUAUAUAUAUAUAUAUAUAUAUAUGCGCGUAUAGUACCUGAAUCUAUCAAGUAACAAUGUAUCACUAACUGAACCCCUAACUCCAGUAAGAGAAUAAAAUCCCUCUCCCUCUCCCCUCAAAAGACUAUUUAAUGUGAAAUAUCACUAGAUGUUUGUUCAGUGGUGCAUAUUAUCAACCAUAAUAGCUGUCUCGCAAUGCUCUGCAAGACAGCUAUUAUUCCUUUUUCUGUGUAUGUAGCUUAGGGCUAAAACAACUUUAGGUCAGACUCCAGGUGAGGGAUCUGAAUACUUACUGGUGCUACAAUCAUUUGUUCAUUAAAUGGUUCAAGAAAAAGCAGUGAUAUAGUGCUGCUUGGGUUGCAUUAGUUACUUUAGUGUUAUAAAGAAAAUCUACAUUGCAGGUAGAAUCAUGCAUUUCACAUGUAUACAUAUACAAAACUAUGGAAAACACGUAGAAGCAACACUAUUUUAGUUUACAGACCAAUGAUUUACAGCAUAUGUGUUUAUCAAAAACUGUCUGUAUAAAAUGAAGAAACUUGAUUUUGUUAUUAGUGCAUUUUUUAUUAUUUGAUAAAUGUACAUAUUGAGUUGCUUAUGUUUUUUUUGUUUGUUUGUUUGUUGUUGUUUAUGCUUUAUAAUUUCACAAAAAAACUAUCCUGUAAAAAUGUUAUGCUUAAAUGGAGCAAUUUGUUUAGGUAUUACACUUGGCAUGAAUCUUUUCAAGUUCUCUAAGAACAAUUGAAACUAAGAAAAUGCAAUAUUUAAACUCCAAUGGUUUGAAAGAAAAAAAGGUUAUUUUUAUAUAAGGCUUUAAGAUAAUUAAAUACUAACAGUCAUUGCCAUUGUAUUUAAGUUAGUUGUAGUGAUAAUGUUUUAUAAAUACAUAUUCAAAAUUAUGUACAGUAUGGCUCUGAACUCAGUACAUCACCUAUAAAUGUUGAUUUUAUGCUUUCUUAGACAGUUUAUGGAUAUAUUCAGCUAGCAGGCAACUCAAAAUUAAAUUAACUUUUUUUGACAUGAAUGUAAAUGGGAAGCUCAGGGUUGAUUUGGAACCUAUUGAAUAAGGCCUUUUUAGGCCUGUGAUUUUUAUUCAUUCUUUCUUUUUUUUUUUUUUUAACAGUACUUCAUGUUGCAAUCCUGAUUUUGAAUUGAUAAGGAUAUACCAAGUAGUUUGCAAAUAAGUUUGAUCACAAUACAUGAUAGCCUAUAGGCAUAUUUCUGGGGAUGAGAUCCGGGGCUCCACCCUGCUUUCCCUGCCAAUCUUCUCCUAUUUCCUAUUUAAUUCUGAAUCUCACAGAGCUUGCUGUCUAGCGUUUUCAGUUUGUUUUCAUCUGUUGUUUUCGAUUUCUAGCAAUCUCUCAGACUCCAUCAAACGUGCUUAAACUUUCUCUUUUUACUAAUGUCUAAACUUCUUUUUCUCUCGUCCUUCAGCUUCUUUCUUUCUUUCUUUCUUUCUUUUUCUUUCUUUCUCGCUGCAGCAGCUGCAAUUUAGCCUGCAACUAUCUAAUCUCCAGCCUUAACAUCUAUUGUGAAGCUUUGUUUGCAGAACCUGUCUAUUCCUCUGCCUGCAAACAACUACAAGCAGGCGCACCUCCCCAACUUUUCUUUAAAGAUUGGUACAUCAACAAGAUUCUGAAAGCUAUUUGUGUAAAGACGCCAUUGCAGCCUCUGCGCCCUCAACGCCCGCCUCCGCAGUUGAUCUGGCAAUCAUCUUGCUUGCAUCAGUUCCCCAUGUGGGUUCAUGGUUUAGCAAUUCACUACUAAGUUCAGCAGCCGAGACAACAAAUCACGAUGGGUAAGGACAUUAAUUUGGUUUCAAUUCCCAGUUCAACGCAGGAACCCCAGCAUUGUUCUAGUUUCGUGCUUUUGUAACGUAUUACGUGAAGCCUACUUUAUCAACUGAAUAUGCAUGCGUCCGCAUCAGAUUAAUAUUGUAAUAAUAAUAAGAAAUACUAUAUUUUAACAGAAGUAAUUUCUGAACUAUGGUUGUUCAAUACUGUUUACAUUUUAUGUCCAAAAGCAAAACAUUUGAAUUAAUCUCACAAACCCUGACUAAUGUAACUAUCGUACUAAAUUCAUCUUCUUUUUCUAUAAUAUUGCCAUGUAAUCCAAGCACACCAUGCUUUGAAACAAAAGGUAAUUGGUAGAUUUAAUAAAUAAAAAAAAGUGUUGCCUUAAUUUUUUAAUUAAAAAAAAACGUGAAUACUUGGCCUGUCUUAUCCAACGCGUAAUGUAGGCUUGAAGUGUGUAUCCUAGCAACGUGCCAAUCUACUGUACUAGCACUAGAAGCAACGCACUCACACUCAAGGUUUUAAUGCAAACUGGCAACAGGAGACUUGGUACUAAUUUGAUGCAUCGAUUCACCAAAAUUUAAUCGAAGCUUGGUAAAAUUUAAGGACAGAUGAUCAAUAAUCAAUGCAUCGAUUUAAUUAUUGCACCCCUAGUAAUCAGGCAGUUUCAUGAGGCCCUCUGAGCUCUGUGCCCCAGUACUGCAAUCUUCCAGCUUCCUGCCCCUGCAUUUUCAUAACUGGAGAGAGUAAGUUCAACUCUCAGAAUUCAUGACAUUUAAAUCAACUGCAGGCGCGUCUCGUGGACCUAUGUUAACUUGCUUAUAUACAUGCUUAACUGUCCUAAAAUAUGUAUUCAAUAUAUAUUUUAAAUUAAUAAUAAAUAUAUAGAUAGUCAGAUGGACAAUGCUCAGCAGGCCAUGUCUCACUUGCCUGUACUGACGAGCUGCCUGUGAUUUCAACAGCCCCUUCUAUCAGGCGUCACUAUCCUAACAUCAGAAAAUAAAUAAUUGAUGGUAAAGAUAUCAAUGUUUCAUUCAAGUCAUACGACAUUCAGUUCCACACCGCCAUCGAGAGCUGGAUCAAUACUUUAUUCUACAUCGUGGAGCUCUCAGUUAGAUACGGGGGUACUGUGUUCUACGAGUACCAUGAAACAUUCUCCACUAAAGCCACCGCCAUCUUAUCAGCAGAUGUCCUCUUUUAACUGCAAUUUCAGGAGUUUGUGAGCCAACGCCUGUGGACAACGCAUGCACAUACAAAGCCCAUUCUACUUUCCUCUGUCCAAAUACAAUCGUGAUACAGCAUAAGAGCAUUUAGGAUAAACAUUCCAGUCACAUGGACUAUUGAUCACAAUAAUGAAAUCUAUUCUACCCAGCAACAAUCUAAAGCCAACAGUUUUAUUCUAAUCAUAACCUCUAGGUGGCAGUAUAACACCACAAUUUCUAUAUUUUAGCUGGUCCUUUCACUGCAAAGGUCAUGUACUUUCAAAUCAGAAUCAGUUUUACUUUGGAAGGUUAAUAUUUCAUUCGAUGUGAGCUUCCAGUCAAGUACGGAAACCAUGUCCUUUUGAUUUAGCAGCAUUUCAGUCAAAGCAGCCUCCUACCUUGUAAUGGACAAUACCCUGAUAUACCGCUACUGAUCAAAUUAAUAGGUUUUGCAGCGGCCUCAAAGCAGUGCAUUAUGCAUUCUACAGCUCUCCCGAAAGCAGCCUCAUCGUUGGCUCCAUCUAAAUCGUCUUAACACUUAAAGACCAACAUUGACAUCCUAUCAAAAUUCUGGUUGGCAGAAAAUUGUGCAACAACCUCCUGCAAUCCCUAGGAGGCACUUCAUGCAGCUUAAAUUUGCUCAUAUCUCUCAAUGAGUUUCUUUUCACUCACUUCAGCAGAUCUCUGCUCUCUACAGCAGGCCACUGCCCACUUCUGACAGCAGUCCACUGCACACUGUUACAGAUCACUGCUUCAGCAGAUCUCUGCUCUCAGGCUCCCACUGCCAUCCACCGUCAUUCUCUUUCUACACAGAUUCGCCGCAAUAAAAUCGCCAGAUUUCAGCACUUUUGUUCCCGCAGCCGCUCCAGCACCUCUCCAAGUUCCGGAACACCAGCACCUAGUGUUCCUGUGAGCUCUCCUCUCUUCAGCCUUCUUCAAUCAGCUAGAAAUGACAUGUCUGCUGCCCUAGCUCCAUCAACAAGAUCAUCCUACUCUACAGGCUGGUCUUCUUUCUCCUCCUGCGUAAAAAAACAAAAACAAAAUCAGUCAGCUCCAUUUAAUCAAGACUGGAUCUUAGCCUUUAUCGUCCACGCACAAGAUAUUCUACACCUCUCCGCUUCUCCAAUCAAGUCUUACAUCUCCAGAAUCCAGUACAUCUCCAGAAACCAGUCCCAUUACCAUCUCAUGUCGGUAUUCUCUCCGAUUCUUCUGGCCAUUCCAGCAAUCCGCCUGACGCUCUGCAAAGCAAAGCAGGCCUUUCUCCUCGGUUCUACACUCCUCACUGCUUUAGAAUCGGAGCAGCCACCUCAGCAGCAAAAGCCAACAUCAAUCAGCAUCUAAUUAAGAGCCUAGGGCGCUGGUCCUUUUCCGCAAUAGAAUCCUACAUACGCACAUCUUUUUCCAAUAUUGCAGCAGCUAACCAAAUAAUUGUUAGCAUGCCCUGAGUGGGGCUACCUGAUCUUCCGGGUCCACCAGAGGUUUUCCCCCCUAAUAGGGCAGGGUUUUUUCCUCUCCACUGUGUGGCAGGUAAACACAUAAUUUCACUCUACCCAAAUCUAAUUCAUCUUGUUUGUGUCGUAUGUUUUUUUUUUUCCUCCUUCUUUCAUAUAUGUUAUGCAUUGGAACAUGAACUAUUGUUUUGUCCCAUGGAUGUGGGGUUCUGCGGGGAGCCGGGUGUCCAACCUUUGGGGGUAAGUGAGGCUCACUUCCCUGACCUCUAUGGCUGCUGCCAUCCACGCCUCCGCUGAGGGGGGGAGGGCGGCUUCUCACCGCAUGAGUCUUAGGGCGGACCCCCCUGGCACACACUCUAUUCUUUAGCAGCUCCUGGUCUAUAUCUUCCCCAAAUUGAGACUGGGCUCUAUUUCCAGCUCCCUCUUCUGUCAUUCCUUUUCCAGGUUCUUCAGCACGAGAGCCUAUUCCUUCUACACUGCUGUUGCUCCGCAGAGCCUGUCGUGGGCCCCCGCUGAUCCAUCUAUCUUAUGUGUUUUCUGGUUCCGGAGGCUGCUGAACAGCCAGCCUUCGAGGUGGCUCACUCUCCUCUGGCCAAGAAGGCUCCCGCCGGUCGGGAACCUCUUUCCUAACCUGUCCCCUGAGGCCACUCCUCAGACUACCUCUCCAAGUAACAACCUUUCACUCCAGCCCUGGCUCUCACCCCGUGAAAUAUAUAGCACAGAAUUAUUUUCUUCAAUUAAGCCUAAAAAGCAGUGAGUGCCUGAGUUUAGAUUACUUUUUUUCUCUUCACUAAACUAGCCUAUACCUGACAAUUUGACCAAUUGAUUUUUUCCCUUUUAUCCAGAGAUUACACUUGCUUUGCAUAUAUUGGCACAAUGCAAGGUUUAGUGACUGUAAAAAGGAGUACAAGAAAUACUUCAGGGAAUGCAAAAAGGUAUUAAUGACUCCUUUUUUCUUUAAGAGAAGAACCUGUAUUCAUCAUGUGCUUUGUUUCAUACUGUAAAUAACUGAAUGGCUUAUGAUUCUUAAUUGUAACCUUUUCAGGUAUUUUUGUACAAAUAAGGGACUGAUAUAUUCUCUUUAUUGUAAUUAGAAUAAAAUAUUAAUACAUUGAUAUUCAUUUAAAACAGUGAUGUUUUAUUGUUUGUCUUUUACACUACAGUAAAUUGACUGACCGGAGGGUUGCUUACACAUGUUAGCCUUACGGUUCAAACAAAAAUGGUAUAAUAACUAUUUUGAGGGGAAAAGGAUAUGUUAUCGGAGAGAAACACUUACAUGAGACCACUAAUGGCAUGCUUGGCAAACUACAUGGUGGACUUACUGUAAAUGUUUCCUUUCUACUUAAAAGAAAAAAUCCUUUUAAAUAUACAGGAGAGUGCAAUAAAUUCAGCUUUGUAAAAUGUAAGCACUCAAAAGUUAUUUGUUAAUAGUUUUGUAAAAUUAAGUUUUAUUUUCCUCUGACAAAAACUGCACUUUAUCAUCUGUUCUAUUGCAGCAGUAAGCAAUAUUAGCAAGGUGUCAAUUUUAGGAUUAUGAUUUAUCAUCCAUGUGAUUUGGGUAAUAAGCUUUUAAUAUAGUAAUGUUUACGAACUUGUGUAUAAAUACAGGUGAAAUGAUCAUAAAUUAUAAGAAAGUAUUAAACCAUCAUACUGUGUUUUUCAAAUGGUAUUUAUCAUUUAUCAUUGCAUUAAAAGGCAAAGGAAUUUA